CGGGACACGUGGUAUCCUGUCUGAAUAUGGGGGGACCAUCCUCCAAGGCUAAAUACUCCUGACUGACCGAUAGUGAACCAGUACCGUGAGGGAAAGGCGAAAAGAACCCCGGCGAGGGGAGUGAAAAAGAACCUGAAACCGUGUACGUACAAGCAGUGGGAGCACGCUUAGGCGUGUGACUGCGUACCUUUUGUAUAAUGGGUCAGCGACUUAUAUUCUGUAGCAAGGUUAACCGAAUAGGGGAGCCGAAGGGAAACCGAGUCUUAACUGGGCGUUAAGUUGCAGGGUAUAGACCCGAAACCCGGUGAUCUAGCCAUGGGCAGGUUGAAGGUUGGGUAACACUAACUGGAGGACCGAACCGACUAAUGUUGAAAAAUUAGCGGAUGACUUGUGGCUGGGGGUGAAAGGCCAAUCAAACCGGGAGAUAGCUGGUUCUCCCCGAAAGCUAUUUAGGUAGCGCCUCGUGAAUUCAUCUCCGGGGGUAGAGCACUGUUUCGGCAAGGGGGUCAUCCCGACUUACCAACCCGAUGCAAACUGCGAAUACCGGAGAAUGUUAUCACGGGAGACACACGGCGGGUGCUAACGUCCGUCGUGAAGAGGGAAACAACCCAGACCGCCAGCUAAGGUCCCAAAGUCAUGGUUAAGUGGGAAACGAU
rnacentral:rRNA from 1 species